CAAGAUGUGAAAUCCCCGGGCUUAACCUGGGAAUGGCAUUUUGAACUGGCAGUCUAGAGUGCGUCAGAGGGGGGUGGAAUUCCACGUGUAGCAGUGAAAUGCGUAGAGAUGUGGAGGAACACCGAUGGCGAAGGCAGCCCCCUGGGAUGACACUGACGCUCAUGUACGAAAGCGUGGGUAGCAAACAGGAUUAGAUACCCUGGUAGUCCACGCCCUAAACGAUGUCAACUGGUUGUUGGGGGAGUGGAAUCCCUUAGUAACGAAGCUAACGCGUGAAGUUGACCGCCUGGGGAGUACGGUCGCAAGAUUAAAACUCAAAGGAAUUGACGGGGACCCGCACAAGCGGUGGAUGAUGUGGAUUAAUUCGAUGCAACGCGAAAAACCUUACCUACCCUUGACAUGUCCGGAACCCUGCAGAGAUGCGGGAGUGCCCGAAAGGGAAUCGGAACACAGGUGCUGCAUGGCUGUCGUCAGCUCGUGUCGUGAGAUGUUGGGUUAAGUCCCGCAACGAGCGCAACCCUUAUCAUUGGUUGCUACGCAAGGGCACUCUAAUGAGACUGCCGGUGACAAACCGGAGGAAGGUGGGGAUGACGUCAAGUCCUCAUGGCCCUUAUGGGUAGGGCUUCACACGUCAUACAAUGGUCGGUACAGAGGGUUGCCAAGCCGCGAGGUGGAGCCAAUCCCAGAAAGCCGAUCGUAGUCCGGAUUGUUCUCUGCAACUCGAGAGCAUGAAGUCG
rnacentral:rRNA from 1 species